rfam:Terasakiispira papahanaumokuakeensis strain PH27A scaffold00001, whole genome shotgun sequence.
CCUGACGACAAUAGCGAGUGGGCACCACCUGAUCCCAUGCCGAACUCAGAAGUGAAACCACUUAGCGCCGAUGAUAGUGUGGGGUCUCCCCAUGUGAAAGUAGGUCAUCGUCAGGC